UACGGAGGGUGCAAGCGUUAUCCGGAUUCACUGGGCUUAAAGGGUGCGUAGGCGGGUUGAUAAGUCAGUGGUGAAAUCCCCGAGCUUAACUUGGGAACUGCCAUUGAUACUAUUGAUCUUGAAUACCGUAGAGGUCAGCGGAAUAUGUCAUGUAGCGGUGAAAUGCUUAGAUAUGACAUAGAACACCAAUUGCGAAGGCAGCUGGCUACGCGAAUAUUGACACUGAUGCACGAAAGCGUGGGGAGCAAACAGG
rnacentral:rRNA from 1 species